rnacentral:lncRNA from 1 species
GCUAUUGAGGUUUAUUGAUUGAUUCAAUUUUGAUAGAAUUCUAACUCACUAAACACAAUUUUACAUGUGCAAUUCAAAUUAUUUUGCUUUACUAGCUCCUGCUUUUCUACUUUAAGAAGCUUGUAUUUUGAAGAUGCUCCAGGAUCUCCAACCAAAGGAGGUAUUACAUGAAAGAACUGCUCACUACCUGAGGAAUUACAACUAUAGGAACAGAAAGGAUGGUGAACUGUGAAACAGUCUAGCUGACACAGGGAAAACACGUCUUCAGGGAUGAGAAAGAGACAGUCUUGGUAGCUAUCAUAUUUUGUACCAUCGCGAAGAUUCAGUCAAGAUGGUGUUGGAUGAUGGCUGCCAAACAAAAGUGGAAUGUGUGAGUAGGCCCUCCUGUGAAAUGGCCUUUGGACUGAGCUUCAUACAUGUGACUAGUUCCCAUUGUAGUCUCCUGAAACUUGAUUUUAAUUGGGAAAAUAAAGAUACGGAAAUUGCUGCAUGUGCAAUAGAGUGUGACCUUGUUUUGUCUCUUCUGCUUCAUAGAGCUAUAUAAUGCUAAUUCGAGAAUUUGGAUUGGAGAAAAGGAAGAAUGGUGAAAGCAAGCGAUGGGGAUUCUGAAGAAGUUAUUAAGGGGCGUUUGCAGUCUCUGUGUGACGUUGUGCAGGAUCCCAACGUUGCAGAGUCAGCUACCUACCUGGUCAUUCAUUGUUCUUUUAUGUAUUUAAAUAUGGGCCAAGGUGGGUGAAUGCUUAGAAGAAAAACCUCCUGGGAUGUUGUAAAGUGUUAAAACGAAUGCUGUUGCUGAUUUAAUAACAUAACUCUUCCUUUCUAGGAUGGGCUGUACUGGUAUUUUACUUCAAGAAGUGUCGUGCUGGAGCUGCGACAACACUUUGGUGAGUUAAAUAGUCGUUAUCCAAGCACGAAAUAUGAAACUUAAGUAUGGCCUAGUGUGUACUACAGGGUUGCAAAUGUAACUGAGGUCAAGUCACUGUGGGUGUGAAAAAGUGCACUUUUACCUUUAUGUUAAGAGUGAGACCAGCUACAGGCCUAGGACUAGGUAGAUUAGAUUCUGGUUUGGCUCUAGUUUUCCUCCCCUCCCUUCCCCAAAGGAAAGAAAAUAACAUAAAAGGGUUUUUUUUUUUUUGGAAAAUAAUAAACAUAGGGCCUUUAAAGUGCGUUUGAAUUCC